GCAGUGUGGCUCAUUUGUCAUAUUUCUCCAUCAAUACAUUUGUCAUGUUUCUCCAUUAAUGACAGAGGGUGUUGACCGCAAGUUUUUUUUUUAAAAAAAAAAAAAAAGGAAAAAGAAGGAGAAGAAAAGAAUCCCCAAAAAUUUCGAUAAAUCCACCUUUUUCUAUUCCUUUCCCCCAAAUCAAUCUUCCAGGAACGCGCAAAAACAAGUAAAAAAGGAGAAAGAAAAAUAUCGCUUCGUCUGGAUAAACAAGGAUCAGGCUGAAGAAUGGCGUCCAGAUGUGAAAUCUGCUGCGAGAUUAUACUGGCGAUCCUCCUUCCCCCUCUCGGCGUUUGUCUCCGGCAUGGCUGCUGCACUGUAGAGUUCUUUAUCUGCUUAGUAUUGACCAUCCUCGGGUACGUUCCGGGAAUAAUCUAUGCUCUCUACGCAAUUCUCUUCAUCGAUCGGGAUAUGUCCCGCGGCGAGUACUAUGAGCCCCUUGCCUAGCACUGCCCUGUGGAAUUUGGCUUUCCAAUUAAAACCAAUUAUGAAUUUUUAUGCCGAUGUUCAUGUGGUUAUUGUUCCCUGAGACUCUGGAUUUUCCUGUUUCCAUUGUUCAAGAGUUUAUUAACGCAUGUGCUUUACUUGUAAUGUUGUAGAAUUUUGAACCUUGUUUUGUCGAUAUAUCAAAAAUUUUCAGUUGAAAGUUGCUGUUUUCUUAGGAGGUAUUGGCGUUGUUGAUCCUAUCCAUGUACUUAAGAAGUGCUUAUACAAUGGUGGCGUUGUUGGACUGGUCUAUUGAAUAUUGCCACAGGAUUGAUCAUCAUGAUAACAAUAAUGGGAGUUUCGUUUUUACA